rnacentral:rRNA from 1 species
CCUACGGGAGGCAGCAGUGGGGAAUAUUGGACAAUGGGCGGAAGCCUGAUCCAGCAACGCCGCGUGAGGGAUGACGGCCUUCGGGUUGUAAACCUCUUUCAGUACCGACGAAGCGCAAGUGACGGUAGGUACAGAAGAAGCACCGGCCAACUACGUGCCAGCAGCCGCGGUAAUACGUAGGGUGCGAGCGUUGUCCGGAAUUAUUGGGCGUAAAGGGCUCGUAGGCGGUUUGUCGCGUCGGGAGUGAAAACGCCGUGCUUAACACGGCGCUUGCUUUCGAUACGGGCAGACUAGAGGUAUGCAGGGGAGAACGGAAUUCCUGGUGUAGCGGUGAAAUGCGCAGAUAUCAGGAGGAACACCGGUGGCGAAGGCGGUUCUCUGGGCAUUACCUGACGCUGAGGAGCGAAAGUGUGGGGAGCGAACAGGAUUAGAUACCCUGGUAGUCCACACCGUAAACGUUGGGCGCUAGGUGUGGGGUCCAUUCCACGGGAUUCCGUGCCGCAGCUACGCAUAGCGCCCGCCGUCGGGAGGUACGGCCGCGACGACGUAAACGUUAAACGUAAGUUAGACGGACGUGAGACGUCGCCGAACGGACGACGACGAGGGAGUAGG